UGAAAAUCUAUAAUAUAUGUGAUACAAACUAUGUAUUUUCAGUACUGGCAGUGAAUUUUGGAACACAGCAUAUACCCGUAUUCAUAGUCCUUCCUUAUCUAAAGCCAACGGCAUGCGGUGCUUGUUUUCGUGCUGGAUUGCUUGCUGGAUGAAAAUACUGCGUUCUGAUUGGAAAUGAAAAUUAAACACGGUAAUCCGGCACCACCGGUUUAUGACAAGUGGAGGUUCUGCACUAGUACAAUCGAAUGACCCAGUAAUGAAAUUCAUGGAUGCAACACAUGCUAACUUAGAUGUAGAAAUUAAUUGCCCAUUUGACAGCACUACAGUAUUUGAGAAAAAAUAUAAUGUACAGAUAUGUUCUUAGUCCACACAAAGGCCAUCCACAAAAGUAAUCAUCGAAGAUGAAAAUGAGAAGGACGAGGAAGAUACUAAUGAUGUAUUUUUGUAUGAUCAAAGCAUCCCAUCUAAUCUCAUAGCACACCAUUGGAAAAAGGGGCCACUUUAAAGAAUAAAAAUCUAAUGAACUGUAAUGAAAAAUAAUGAAGAUUAAUAAAACUGCGAGAAGCAAUUGAGCAGCAGCGGGAGCUUCAUGCUAAAAAAUGGCGAUUGUUGAAGAGAAGAUUGUUAUGCUAAAACUGUUGAGGGAGGAAAACAUAGUAUAAUAUAAAAUAUUGAUAACGAUAUAAUUUAUAUAUGAUAAAACGACCUUUUUAAAGUUAUCCUACAGAUGUAAGUUAUGUUUUUAAAUAU